GACGAACGCUGGCGGCGUGCCUAAUACAUGCAAGUAGAACGCUGAAGAGAGGAGCUUGCUCUUCUUGGAUGAGUUGCGAACGGGUGAGUAACGCGUAGGUAACCUGCCUUGUAGCGGGGGAUAACUAUUGGAAACGAUAGCUAAUACCGCAUAACAAUGGAUGACACAUGUCAUUUAUUUGAAAGGGGCAAUUGCUCCACUACAAGAUGGACCUGCGUUGUAUUAGCUAGUAGGUGAGGUAAUGGCUCACCUAGGCGACGAUACAUAGCCGACCUGAGAGGGUGAUCGGCCACACUGGGACUGAGACACGGCCCAGACUCCUACGGGAGGCAGCAGUAGGGAAUCUUCGGCAAUGGGGGCAACCCUGACCGAGCAACGCCGCGUGAGUGAAGAAGGUUUUCGGAUCGUAAAGCUCUGUUGUAAGUCAAGAACGGGUGUGAGAGUGGAAAGUUCACACUGUGACGGUAGCUUACCAGAAAGGGACGGCUAACUACGUGCCAGCAGCCGCGGUAAUACGUAGGUCCCGAGCGUUGUCCGGAUUUAUUGGGCGUAAAGCGAGCGCAGGCGGUUUGAUAAGUCUGAAGUUAAAGGCUGUGGCUCAACCAUAGUUCGCUUUGGAAACUGUCAAACUUGAGUGCAGAAGGGGAGAGUGGAAUUCCAUGUGUAGCGGUGAAAUGCGUAGAUAUAUGGAGGAACACCGGUGGCGAAAGCGGCUCUCUGGUCUGUAACUGACGCUGAGGCUCGAAAGCGUGGGGAGCGAACAGGAUUAGAUACCCUGGUAGUCCACGCCGUAAACGAUGAGUGCUAGGUGUUGGAUCCUUUCCGGGAUUCAGUGCCGCAGCUAACGCAUUAAGCACUCCGCCUGGGGAGUACGACCGCAAGGUUGAAACUCAAAGGAAUUGACGGGGGCCCGCACAAGCGGUGGAGUAUGUGGUUUAAUUCGAAGCAACGCGAAGAACCUUACCAGGUCUUGACAUCCCGAUGCUAUUUCUAGAGAUAGAAAGUUACUUCGGUACAUCGGUGACAGGUGGUGCAUGGUUGUCGUCAGCUCGUGUCGUGAGAUGUUGGGUUAAGUCCCGCAACGAGCGCAACCCCUAUUGUUAGUUGCCAUCAUUCAGUUGGGCACUCUAGCGAGACUGCCGGUAAUAAACCGGAGGAAGGUGGGGAUGACGUCAAAUCAUCAUGCCCCUUAUGACCUGGGCUACACACGUGCUACAAUGGUUGGUACAACGAGUUGCGAGUCGGUGACGGCGAGCUAAUCUCUUAAAGCCAAUCUCAGUUCGGAUUGUAGGCUGCAACUCGCCUACAUGAAGUCGGAAUCGCUAGUAAUCGCGGAUCAGCACGCCGCGGUGAAUACGUUCCCGGGCCU
rnacentral:rRNA from 1 species